UUUUUUUCAAUUAUAAAACUGAAAGUGCUUCAUGCUAGUGCUAGCACUAUCCAUGGCAAGGUCCCGCGCGGAGGAUGGGGCUGCGCUAGCACUAUCCAUGGGAACAGUCAUCAUCCAUCAACAGUACACGAGUUUUAGCACCUGCAGCCAAAUUACGAGCCCAUGAGUCACCGACGGAAAGCAAACAUCACGCCAGAAAAGUACCAAUCCAAUCUCGAAAGCGAGUAUCCGAGUCCCGACCCGAGCAAACAAAACCCUAAUCCCCUCCUAAACGCGUAGAAGAAUGAAUCUACGCGCCCGACUACAAUCCCCGUCGACCAGCAACAAAUCCGCGGAUCUCCUCAAAUCCCGGUCAACUCGAGGCGGGUGACCGCGAAAUCUCGGCUCAAAAUCCAAGGUUCCGCACCGGGAAAACUCGCGAUCGGGUCGACGAGGAGGAAGAAUCCAAGGAAAUCGCGAGUUCUGGGGAGGAAUUCGUACCUGCGCGUUGCUUGCUAUCGCGACGCGAGCGAGCGGGGAGGGGAAUUUGGGGGUAGAUGGCAGAGCGAGGGAAAGAGGAGGAGGAGGAGGCGAUUUCCUUGUUUGUUUGUUGUCGUCGCCGUGUUGGGAUUGGACUCCCUCG
rnacentral:lncRNA from 1 species